GUGGGGAAUAUUGGACAAUGGGCGAAAGCCUGAUCCAGCCAUGCCGCGUGUGUGAAGAAGGUCUUCGGAUUGUAAAGCACUUUAAGUUGGGAGGAAGGGCAGUAAGUUAAUACCUUGCUGUUUUGACGUUACCGACAGAAUAAGCACCGGCUAACUUCGUGCCAGCAGCCGCGGUAAUACGAAGGGUGCAAGCGUUAAUCGGAAUUACUGGGCUUAAAGCGCGCGUAGGUGGUUUUGUAAGUUGGAGGUGAAAUCCCCGGGCUCAACCUGGUAACUGCCUACAAAACUGCAUGACUAGAGUACGGUAGAGGGUAGUGGAAUUUCCUGUGUAGCGGUGAAAUGCGUAGAUAUAGGAAGGAACACCAGUGGCGAAGGCGACUACCUGGACUGAUACUGACACUGAGGUGCGAAAGCGUGGGGAGCAAACAGGAUUAGAAACCCUGGUAGUCC
rnacentral:rRNA from 1 species